CGUUCCUACAAAAAAUCUUAUAUUUGUAUUUCCCGCUCAAAACUUUUUUACCGGAAUCCUCGGGUUUUAUCUUUAUCGUAUAAGGUCUAGUCCGUUUGGUAUCACGUGAGCGUUUAACAUGCACACUUGCAUUUAGAGUUUCAAAGCAUUUGUUUGAAAUCGAUGUUGAACGCUUUGAAAUCAUGAUAUGACGUACGUUAACUCUGCAUCUUUAUGCUUGAAGAGCAGGGUUCAUUUACAAGAAAGUUCGUUUAAUACAAAAUUAUCAACGUGUGUACAAACUAUUUUGUGUAAACGGACGUUGUAUUCUAUGUAGGGA
rnacentral:lncRNA from 1 species